CCGUAGCCCAAGAGAUCGGGAUAACACCUGGAAACAGAUGCUAAUACCGGAUAACAACAGAUGAUGCCUAUCAACUGUUUAAAAGAUGGUUCUGCUAUCACUCUUGGAUGGACCUGCGGUGCAUUAGCUAGUUGGUAGGGUAACGGCCUGCCAAGGCGAUGAUGCAUAGCCGAGUUGAGAGACUGAUAGGCCACAUUGGGACUGAGACACGGCCCAAACUCCUACGGGAGGCAGCAGGA
rnacentral:rRNA from 1 species